rnacentral:rRNA from 1 species
AACGAACGCUGGCGGCAUGCCUAACACAUGCAAGUCGAACGAGACCUUCGGGUCUAGUGGCGCACGGGUGCGUAACGCGUGGGAACCUGCCCUUAGGUUCGGAAUAACUCCCCGAAAGGGGUGCUAAUACCGGAUAAUGUCUUCGGACCAAAGAUUUAUCGCCUUUGGAUGGGCCCGCGUUGGAUUAGCUAGUUGGUAGGGUAAAAGCCUACCAAGGCGACGAUCCAUAGCUGGUCUGAGAGGAUGAUCAGCCACACUGGGACUGAGACACGGCCCAGAAUCCUACGGGAGGCAGCAGUGGGGAAUAUUGGACGAUGGGCGAAAGCCUGAUCCAGCAAUGCCGCGUGAGUGAUGAAGGCCUUAGGGUUGUAAAGCUCUUUUACCCGGGAUGAUAAUGACAGUACCGGGAGAAUAAGCUCCGGCUAACUCCGUG